GGUUUCGAGUGAGGGACUCUGGGUCACCUCCCACCCGUGUUUAUCGUACCUUGUUGCUUCGGCGGGCCCGCCUCACGGCCGCCGGGGGGCAUCCGCCCCCGGGCCCGCGCCCGCCGAAGACACACAAACGAACUCUUGUCUGAAGAUUGCAGUCUGAGUACUUGACUAAAUCAGUUAAAACUUUCAACAACGGAUCUCUUGGUUCCGGCAUCGAUGAAGAACGCAGCGAAAUGCGAUAAGUAAUGUGAAUUGCAGAAUUCAGUGAAUCAUCGAGUCUUUGAACGCACAUUGCGCCCCCUGGUAUUCCGGGGGGCAUGCCUGUCCGAGCGUCAUUGCUGCCCUCAAGCACGGCUUGUGUGUUGGGCUCUCGCCCCCCGCUUCCGGGGGGCGGGCCCGAAAGGCAGCGGCGGCACCGCGUCCGGUCCUCGAGCGUAUGGGGCUUCGUCACCCGCUCUGUAGGCCCGGCCGGCGCCCGCCGGCGAACACCAUCAAUCUUAACCAGGUUGACCUCGGAUCAGGUAGGGAUACCCGCUGAACUUAAGCAUAUCAAUAAACGAAGGAA
rnacentral:rRNA from 1 species